rnacentral:tRNA from 5 species
UGGGAAGUACGCAAAUUGGCAAAGCGACUCGAAUUUGGAUCGAGUGUUUGAGGGUUCAAGUCCUUCCUUCCCAG